rnacentral:sRNA from 1 species
AGCACGCUCUCAGCCUUCUGAGCACCUUUCCUUCUUUCAGCCAACUGCUCACUCGCUCACCUCCCUCCUUGGCACCAUGACCACCUGCAGCCGCCAGUUCACCUCCUCCAGCUCCAUGAAGGGCUCCUGCGGCAUUGGGGGCGGCUCCAGCCGCAUCUCCUCCGUCCUGGCCGGAGGGUCCUGCCGUGCCCCCAGCACCUACGGGGGCGGCCUGUCUGUCUCCUCUCGCUUCUCCUCUGGGGGAGCCUGCGGGCUGGGGGGCGGCUAUGGUGGUGGCUUCAGCAGCAGCAGCAGCUUUGGUAGUGGCUUCGGGGGAGGAUAUGGUGGUGGCCUUGGUGCUGGCUUCGGUGGUGGCUUGGGUGCUGGCUUUGGUGGUGGUUUUGCUGGUGGUGAUGGGCUUCUGGUGGGCAGUGAGAAGGUGACCAUGCAGAACCUCAACGACCGCCUGGCCUCCUACCUGGACAAGGUGCGUGCUCUGGAGGAGGCCAACGCCGACCUGGAGGUGAAGAUCCGUGACUGGUACCAGAGGCAGCGGCCUGCUGAGAUCAAAGACUACAGUCCCUACUUCAAGACCAUCGAGGACCUGAGGAACAAGGUGGGUGACUUUGGUGUAUGGAGCACUGAGAGAGGCUGGGGCUAUAGUGGCCCUUGGGAUACCUCUUUUUAGCAAUUACACUUUACAAACAGGGAGACUGGGCACCUUUGGGGAGUGGCCAGGAUCACCCAGGGAAGUGGUAGCAGAGGGUCCCUUUUCAGUAUCUCUGUGCCCGGACUGGGGCUGUUACCCUAAAUCUCUUAUUUCCUUCAAGGGUUCAGCUGCAAGUUCAGCUUCCCUGCCUUGGGCCCAGGAAGGGGGUGAUCGGGAUGGAGUGCAUCCCUACGUACCCUGAGCUGGUGGAGAAGGCAUGCUAGCCCUGCCAGCCAGAAGACUUCCAGAUUUGGGGCGGUUCCUUUUGCCCCUUUCUGCCUUUCAUGCUCAAGUAGUAA